rnacentral:sRNA from 1 species
UGAUUUACAAGAUAAGUUUAGUUGACCC